AGCCCCAUCGUAUAGUGGUCAAGUAUACGGUCCUCUGGAGGCCGAGACCCAGGUUCAAAUCCUGGUGGGGCUA
rnacentral:tRNA from 1 species